AUUGAACGCUGGCGGCAGGCCUAACACAUGCAAGUCGAACGGUAACAGGAAACAGCUUGCUGUUUCGCUGACGAGUGGCGGACGGGUGAGUAAUGUCUGGGAAACUGCCUGAUGGAGGGGGAUAACUACUGGAAACGGUAGCUAAUACCGCAUAACGUCGCAAGACCAAAGAGGGGGACCCUCGGGCCUCUUGCCAUCGGAUGUGCCCAGAUGGGAUUAGCUUGUUGGUGGGGUAACGGCUCACCAAGGCGACGGUCCCUAGCUGGUCUGAGAGGAUGACCAGCCACACUGGAACUGAGACACGGUCCAGACUCCUACGGGAGGCAGCAGUGGGGAAUAUUGCACAAUGGGCGCAAGCCUGAUGCAGCCAUGCCGCGUGUAUGAAGAAGGCCUUCGGGUUGUAAAGUACUUUCAGCGGGGAGGAAGGGAGUAAAGUUAAUACCUUUGCUCAUUGACGUUACCCGCAGAAGAAGCACCGGCUAACUCCGUG
rnacentral:rRNA from 1 species